AAAGCUUUGAUGGUGUAGCUGAAG
rnacentral:siRNA from 1 species